UUAAAUCCAGAAAAAUCCUUUCCGCUUGAAAAAAAAAAAAAUCAUUCACCAACUAAACCAAAAUAAUAGUCAUAAAAUAACAUAGGUUCUCCUGCAUUUUCCGUGGCCGAAAUUGAGAAAAAGAGUGAAGCCUAAAACAUGGCUCAAUAUUUCCAGAGGCCGAAAACGAAGAACCCAAAGCCCAAAUCGAAUGCGACCUAAAAUUAGACCCAAAAUCCAAACCUUCAUCUUUGAAGUUGAUCUCAAAACAAAACCAUUUCCCUUCUCUCGGAGAGGCUAAGCUGAGAAAAGAUGCAGGCGAUUACCAGACGCUUAGGGCAGCAAUCUUUGAGGCCAACGGCUUCAAUCUCUUCUAUCAAGUCUAUUUACCCUCUCUCCGAUCACUAUGACGGAGUUGAUCAUUCGCGGUACGGAUCUACGCUGGCCGCUCACAAGGGCUUGGGCCAGCUUGUUCGGAAGGGAACCGGUGGCCGAUCUUCCGUUAGUGGCAUUAUAGCUACAGUUUUUGGAGCUACUGGAUUCCUUGGUCGUUAUCUUGUUCAACAGCUCGCUAAAAUGGGAUCUCAGGUGUUAGUUCCUUUCAGAGGUUCUGAGGAUAACCCUCGUCAUCUCAAGUUGAUGGGAGAUUUGGGACAGAUAGUGCCAAUGAAAUACGAUCCAAGGGAUGAAAAUUCGAUUAAGGCUGUGAUGGCAAAGGCCAAUGUUGUUAUCAAUCUUAUUGGAAGAGAGUAUGAGACAAGAAACUAUAACUUUGAGGAAGUGAACCAUUUCAUGGCAGAACAACUGGCAGUGAUUGCAAAAGAACAUGGUGGUAUCACGAGAUUUAUUCAAGUUUCUUGCUUAGGGUCUUCUCUGUCAUCUCCAUCAAGAUUUCUAAGAGCUAAGGCAGCUGGAGAAGAAGCUGUUUUGAAAGAACUUCCUGAGGCUACUGUGAUGAAACCUGCUGUAAUGAUUGGAACUGAGGAUCGAAUCAUGAAUCGUUGGGCACAAUUUGCGAAGAAAUAUAGUUUUCUUCCACUCAUUGGUGAUGGAUCUACCAAAAUCCAGCCUGUAUAUGUUGUUGAUAUUGCUUCUGCAAUCGUUGCUGCCUUGAAAGAUGAUGGUACCAGCAUGGGAAAAGUUUAUGAGUUGGGUGGGCCAGAGAUCUUUACUGUGCAUGAACUGGCUGAGCUUAUGUAUGACAUGAUCCGUGAAUGGCCACGCUAUGUAAAUGUACCUAUACCCAUUGCAAAGGCAAUUGCCAUGCCCAGGGAGGUAUUACUCAAGAAAGUGCCAUUUCCACUACCAAAUCCUGACAUCUUCAAUCUGGAUCAGAUACAUGCAUUUGCAACUGAUACAGUUGUCUCAGAUGAUGCUUUAACUUUUAUGGAUUUGGGUGUUGUGCCUCAUAAGUUGAAGGGAUACCCGGUUGAGUUUCUUAUCCAAUAUCGAAAGGGUGGUCCACAAUUUGGGUCUACGGUCAGUGAAAAAGUUAAUCCGGAAUAUUGGCCAUAAUUUCAUAUGGAUCUUUCAUUUCUGGUGUGUUUUUUGUCCUAAAAUGCCACCGAUUGGAAAAGCCUAUACUGGUUUUGCAGGGAUGGGCUUGUUUUCUUUGGCAGAAACUAGGAAAGAAUAAUGAAGGGGAAGGAUCCUUCAGUUAAUUCAUGAAUAUGUAUAAUUGUGAGAAAUAUUCAUCUCAUUUUUUUUAGACGAUCAUUCUUGGGGUUAUCUCCUGUUAAAAGAAACCAUUUUAUUUGUUUCUAUGGCAAUUAUUUCGUUGUACCCUUGCUUUGGGUUUUCCUCAAAUUCCAUGGUAGUAUGAAAUGCUGCAGCUAAAUGGUUCUUAAAUCCCCUUUCUGCCGUUCGUUGGUUUUUGGCCUUUCAAGUUUUUUUUUUCUUUAUUUUUUAUAGCCAGAUUCUGAUUACAUUAAAUCAUUAAUGAAAUUCUGUUCAUAUCAGGUUAUUAAA